rnacentral:rRNA from 1 species
GCAUCGAUGAAGAACGCAGCGAAACGCGAUAAUGUCAUGCGAAUUGCAGAUCUUCGUGAAGCAUCGAAUCUUUGAACGCAAAUUGCGCUUUCGAGAUAUCUCGAAAGCACGUUCGUUCGAGCGUUGAACAUACAUUUGUAAAACAAAAAUUCUUGAAGGUUCGAAAGAUUUUUUCUUUCGAUCCUUUUAAAUGGAUGCAAAAAGAAACCGAAGGAAGAACGGUGAUUUUUCUGGCGGAGAACACGUUCCUUUCGAUAGGCGAUACAAAAGUCUCGAAAGGUAUCCUCUUCUUUGAAUCUUCAUUUUCUUUUUUCGUUUCUCACAUUCAAAACAUCAACCUCGAAUCGAUCGAGAUUACCCGCUGAAUUUAAGCAUAUCAAUAAGCGGAGGA